UGUGACGUUUCGCAGCGCCAUCAUCGGUGGUUGAACUGGCGAAUACGCGCUAUCUGUGAUGUCGUCAUGACAUUAGAUAUAUUUUGCUGUUCGUCAGGUUUUUUUUUAUCAAAACAUUGUACCUUUUUCAUCGGUAUUUGUGGAUUUUCCGGCUUUGUGUGCCUUUAACGUGUUCGAUAUAUGUGUAAAGAUCAAUUUAUUGGUGUGGUAUGUGGAUUGCAACAUCUCAAAUAGUUUAUGUUAUCUUUAGAGCAUCAAGAAUAUUUAGUGGUUUUCAACUGUUGAAUUAUAUUUUCGGGCAAAAAGUGCGAGAUACAUAAACAAAAAAUAGCUAAAUUGAUUUAUGCAUAUUUAUCUGGAAUGCUAUCUCGAAACUGACAACUGCAAACAAAUGGGCUUGGACCAGGUUCCCGUUGCUUCCGAAAUGUAUUUAAAAAAUUCUGCCACUGCAUAAAAAGAUAAAUAUUACCUUAUUAAAAGUA